rnacentral:rRNA from 1 species
UACGUAGGGGGCAAGCGUUGUCCGGAAUAAUUGGGCGUAAAGAGCGUGUAGGCGGCCCGAUAAGUCCGCUGUGAAAGUCCAGGGCUCAACCCUGGAAUGCCGGUGGAUACUGUCGGGCUCGAAUCCGGAAGAGGUGAGUGGAAUUCCUGGUGUAGCGGUGAAAUGCGCAGAUAUCAGGAGGAACACCAAUGGCGAAGGCAGCUCACUGGGACGGUAUUGACGCUGAGACGCGAAAGCGUGGGGAGCAAACAGG